rnacentral:rRNA from 1 species
CGAACGGGUGAGUAACACGUGAGUAACCUGCCCUUCACUCUGGGAUAAGCGCUGGAAACGGUGUCUAAUACUGGAUAUGACCCUUACAGGCAUCUGUUGGGGGUGGAAAGAUUUAUCGGUGAAGGAUGGGCUCGCGGCCUAUCAGGUAGUUGGUGAGGUAACGGCUCACCAAGCCGACGACGGGUAGCCGGCCUGAGAGGGUGGCCGGCCACACUGGGACUGAGACACGGCCCAGACUCCUACGGGAGGCAGCAGUGGGGAAUAUUGCACAAUGGGCGAAAGCCUGAUGCAGCAACGCCGCGUGAGGGAUGACGGCCUUCGGGUUGUAAACCUCUUUUAGUAGGGAAGAAGCGUAAGUGACGGUACCUGCAGAAAAAGCACCGGCUAACUACGUGCCAGCAGCCGCGGUAAUACGUAGGGUGCAAGCGUUGUCCGGAAUUAUUGGGCGUAAAGAGCUCGUAGGCGGCUUGUCGCGUCUGCUGUGAAAACCCGGAGCUCAACUCCGGGCCUGCAGUGGGUACGGGCAGGCUAGAGUGCGGUAGGGGAGAUUGGAAUUCCUGGUGUAGCGGUGGAAUGCGCAGAUAUCAGGAGGAACACCGAUGGCGAAGGCAGAUCUCUGGGCCGCUACUGACGCUGAGGAGCGAAAGCAUGGGGAGCGAACAGGAUUAGAUACCCUGGUAGUCCAUGCCGUANACGUUGGGAACUAGAUGUAGGGCCUGUUCCACGGGUUCUGUGUCGUAGCUAACGCAUUAAGUUCCCCGCC